rnacentral:tmRNA from 1 species
CCUGAAACCCCACAACAGUUGUAUUUUUGUGGUGGACGUGGGUAUAAGAUGAUAGGGGCUGGGCUCUCCCUCUUCUUUUUUGCAGCCAUAGUGGCGCUGGCCAGUAAACUAGUAUGGUGAUGGGGGCCUUGGACUAUCUGCGCUUGAUGAAUAUUUCAGUGGAUGAGUUUAGAAGCUUUUGUAUCUAUGGCCACCUCAGUGGGCAGCGUGGAUGGGGUGAGCUGUUGUUGAGCAAUCUUUCAUUUAAAAGAGCAGUGUGCCAUAUACUGAAAAUACAGUGUGAGACUAAGAAGAGGUGGACAAACAAGGUAUUGGUGGCGAAUAGUGCGUUGUCCCUACUGACCCUCUUCAGGAUGGUUCUUCAUGAAUGUGUUUUUUCACACAAAUAUUUUAUACCUGACAGGAUCGAGGACAUGUGUUUCCCGCUGACCAAAAUACUCACUGUGCCCUUCCUCAAGGCCCUAGAUCUGUAUCUCUCCCAGUUUUCCAUCUCAUGCAAGUUUCCCAUAAUUAAAAUAUCCACUGUGAAUCCUACCCUUCUGGCGUUUACCAAGAAGAAAUAUCUGGCUAGUGUUGUGUCUGAUCAACCCAUCGAGGUCCCUGCUCCAUCUGCCCGGCCUGAUCCUGUGAGGUUUACUGCUGCGGUGCCCUUAGCUUCUGAUGAGCAGUCUCUGGUGAAAGCUUUACAUUCCAGUACCGGGACAGUCCAGUGUGGAAAUCCAUUUUAUUAUAUGAUGACCAGACUUUGCUUGUAUGGACUAAUGCAUGGUAGGGGGGGAAUUGUGCCAGUUUCCAGCUCUAGUAAGCAGAGUGUAUAUGAUGUGGCUAUAAGAUUUAUAGGUUCUAGGAUAUUGAGCCCGAUAGUGAGGCUGCCAAUUUUAUCCAGGGCUUUGGCAGACCUGGCGCUGACGGGGCACGGUCAUCAGAUAACAGUGUGUAAUGAAUGUGGCCACUGUUUAAAUUUGGGCAGGGAUAAAUUUCUUGCAGUAAAUUUUUCCCCCACAAGUAUGUUUUAUUGCAGAGAUCAAAAGGAGAAACAGUUUAACAUAUGUGCUACAACUGGGAGGAUCUAUUGUUCAUAUUGUGGGGCGACAGAGUUUACAGUGUAUGACAUGGUGGGAAGGUAUGCUACGGGGGAGCCUUUUAUUAGGGCGGUUUCCUCAGCUAACUCCCUUAGUAUUUUAGAUAAUAGCGAACAGGAGUGUGAUAUACUGAUCCCUUGUUUUGGUAAAUCUAGGUCUUGCAGUAUUAAGCUGAGGGCGACAUUUAGGGAGCUACUUUAUUUGACAGCGUCUGUUGAUAAUUUUAUUUGUCAAAAGUGUUCCAAUAAGGGUGAUGAAUAAAGACAGGGU